rnacentral:misc_RNA from 1 species
AAGUCGUAACAAGGUUUCCGUAGGUGAACCUGCGGAAGGAUCAUUACCGAAGAACUCACACUUCUUCUCGCGCAACCCACACCCGUGAACCACUGUUGUCUUUGGACGUUAAAUACAUACUCUUGUGCUGUCACCGCAUGUCGUUGUUUUCGAACAAAUAAAUAAAACUUUCAGCAACGGAUCUCUUGGCUCUC